rnacentral:rRNA from 1 species
CGUAGGAGGCGAGCGUUGUCCGGAUUUACUGGGCGUAAAGCGCGCGCAGGCGGCACUUCAAGUAAGGUGUGAAAUCUCCCUGCUCAACGGGGAGGGUGCACUUUAGACUGGGGAGCUAGAGGACGGUAGAGGGGGGUGGAAUUGCUGGUGUAGCGGUGAAAUGCGUAGAGAUCAGCAGGAACACCCGUGGCGAAGGCGGCCCCCUGGGCCGUACCUGACGCUGAGGCGCGAAGGCUAGGGGAGCGAACGGGAUUAGAUACCCCGGUAGUCCUAGCAGUAAACGAUGGCCACUAGGUGUGGGGGGUGUUGACCCCUUCCGUGCCGAAGCCAACGCAUUAAGUGGCCCGCCUGGGGAGUACGGUCGCAAGACUAA